AUAGAGGUUGGAACUACAGACAGUAGGAGUGACUUUGCAUAUUAACACAGGAAGAGGACAAGGAUGAUAGACUUUUAUUGCAUUCCUUGGACAAGGAUGAUAGACUUUUAUUGCAUUCCUCAGAAAUUCCUCUCACACUCUCAUGGCCGCAACGCGUUCUCACUCUCUCAAAUCUCACCCUUCGCUUGUCUCCUCCUUGGACCUCCGAUGUGCUGGAAUCUCUUCUCUUUCGGAGUCCGACUCGAACUGUGCUUGCAUCGCUGAAUCCAAACCAGAAACCCUACCCGGCGAAUUUGAAUCAUACAGAACGGAAACCCUAAUCGAGCGGUUGAAAUCAUUGGUAGUGGUACAAAGAGAACAUGCCAUUAGUCCUUGUCUUUAUAUUUAUGCAUUUACUCAUGCUCUUCAUAUUAUGAGCAGAAAGAGAGGCUGCGAAUAUAAAUGAGCAGAGUCUCCUUUCAGUGUCUCACGUCGUUCACAUUCUCACUCUCCACUCUCUCUUUCUCGCAUAACUCACGCUCCUUUCUUUGCUUCUCUCUGCGUGCUUCUUCUACUCGAGCGAUGGCUUCCCACAUUGUUGGUUAUCCCCGCAUGGGACCCAAGAGAGAGCUUAAGUUUGCCUUAGAAUCCUUUUGGGAUGGCAAGAGUAGUGCUGAGGAGCUGAAGAAGGUUUCUGCAGACCUUAGGUUAGCCAUUUGGAAGCAGAUGGCUGAGGCUGGAAUCCAGUAUAUUCCAAGCACACCUUCUCAUACUAUGAUCAAGUAUUGGACACAACAGCCAUGCUUGGGGCAAGAGGAAAUGCAUCUGUACCAGCUAUGGAAAUGACCAAGUGGUUUGACACCAACUAGUUUGGGUUGGAACUUGCAGUUUCAUCUCCUCUAUAAGCCUCGACAUCUCAGGAUAGAGGGAGCAAUCUGCUUUGUGUUUCCCUUCUGUGGAUGUGAAGCUGCUUGAAUCAAGAGGUACAUCCCUAUCAGUCUAAGUUUGAAGCUACUGAAGGGUUUGACACAUGUGCUUGUGGGUAAAAUCAUUUUCAGCAACAAUCUUUACUGAACUGCUACCAUAUGUUGCUUUAAAACCUUGCUUGCAUGAGUUAAGUAUGAGGAUUCAAGCCUUCAAAGUUUAUUUUAGCUUGAAAUCCUUGUUAUGUUUUAGAUUUAGUACCCUUUCCUUGUUUUGUCAAUUUACUUAUAUAUUGAUGAAUGCUUUAAUUUAAGCCUGAAUAUGCUUUUAAAUUGGGGAUUCAUUUACUGAACUGCUACUUAUUGGUUGCUUAUUGUGUGUUAGAAACAUGAAUGUGCCUGAAAAUAGGAAAUGGAUGGAUAAUAGAUUGGAUUGUGAGAAGCAUGUGACUGAAGAAUUCCUAUAACUUUAUUAGCGAGGGAAUGUAAAUAAAAAUGUCAAGUGGAAGCGACGGAGUUUCCGUCGCUUCCGUCGCAAACAGCGUUGCGACGGACUCCUAUAUAGCGACGGAUUUAAAAAUCCCUCGUUAAUUAUUUAGCGACGCCACUUUGCACGACGGACAGGGUUCCGUCGCUAAAAAUUUAGUGACGGAAUUUUCCUUAUUUAGCGAUGGAUUUUGUCCCUCGCUAAUUUGCUUUUUUUAGUAGUGAAUUAACAUUCAUCAAAAGGGUGUCUGAUGAUGUUAGAGAUAUGACAUAUGUAUUAGUAUUUAUAAAAGUGAGUAGCAACCCUUAAUUCUUGAACUAGUUUUUGAGUUGAGUAGGGUCUCCCAAAUUUCAAUAAAGUAGAAUUAUUAGAGUUUAUUCUAAAUUAUUUGUUGUUGGAGACCUCCUAUAUUUAGAGCACCUUGCAGAUGUCUAGUCUUACAAAUUUCAUGCACCUAAGCGUGAGAAAGUGUGUUAGAAGUCAUUAAAAAUAAAUAUGAUACAUAGGUAGUCUUUAUAAAUGCCUAUAAAAAAAUUAGUCUAUAAAUAUAAAUAGUAGACCAACAUUCAACUUUUAAAUUAAUUUUUCGAUUGAAUUACCCUUACAAAUUCUAAUAAGUAGCGAGAUAAUUUAAACUAUAAGAAUCAAAUGAAAUAUCAUGGGAAAGAAAUGUGUUUCCGGUUUGUUUUCUACGCAGAAAUAAUGGGAAAGGGAGACGUUCAUAAAUCAUAACUUCAUAUGCUUUCAAAUUAUCUCUUCAUAAUAAUUUUUCAAAACCUCUAAUUGAUGUAGAUGUCAAGCAAGUAUAAGACAAAAGGGGGUGGAAAGUGAUGUUCACGUGCUUUAGACUUUGACUUCAUAAGAUAAAUAAUAAUGUUUUGUUCACCUAUGUUUUUCAGUUCAACAUUUCAUGAGUAAGGAAAUAAAUGAGUGAUAUUAUAUGUAAUGUUACAGAAUAUGCAAAGAGAUAUAGAAAAAAAAAAUGUGAAAAUGAGAUGUGAGAUCAUUACUCUAGGAUAAAAUAUUGAGGGAAAAGAUAGUGAUUGAUGACCUGAAGACUAGCAUGUGAACUACCAACAAUGUUUCUCCUCUAAGCCCAAUGGAUUUUCGGUCUUACCAAAAUACCCUCGUCUUUUUUCCUCCUCAUAUGUACCUUCUGCUCCUCCUAAUGGCGCUCUCGCCACCAUCCUCCACGCCCUUAACCUCCGUCAUUGAAAUAUUUAUGUCGACCAUCAUCGGUACGUUACUGAAGAAUAGCUCAAGUGGUAAGAGUUUGGGGAUAUAUGGGUUGGGGAGAGGAAGGUCCAGAGAUCAAACCCUUGGAGGUAAAAUUUUGGCCGAUAAAAAAUACCUAGAAAGAAAAAACAACCCGUAUGUACAAUCUCGAACCACCACAAACCAAAGCCCCACCAACACCCAACUUCGAACCAACCCAAACCCCAUUUCGUGGAACCAUAAACCUUUCGCACCAUAAAUUCGUGCACUGGAUCGCCAGCCGCCGACGCAAUAUUCCUCCUUUUGCACCAAAUUUGCAGUCGUUAAUGUAGUGAUUGCACCAUUAAGCACUAGACCUGCAAUCGUUGACCGAGUUCCAUUUGAAGACCAUUUACCAAUUCUCAAAGAUCCUCAAUGGUUGCACACCACCCUAAGUUGCAUCCUCAGAGCUCAAACAUGCAAGAAAUGACGUUGAGAAAAGCCUUCAUAUUUGGUUGUUGUUGCUGUACUAAUGGCAUGGAUUGGCUUUUUCUCACCUCUCACAUCAACUCUAUCUCUUCGUCUUUCUAUUUUUCUUUCUUUCAUGAAAAUCGGCUUUGGGGACUUGAUUUGGGGUCGGUGGAGAAAGGGAAUGUGGUUGGGUUGUAGGGGUUACAAUUUGGAUUCUGAUAGCUGGCUACGCAGUGGUUUUGCAUCGCCUCUACAGUUGGUGGGCGGUGGUGACUAUGGCUGAAAUGGUUGCACGGUGAUUAUGGUUGAUAUGAUGAGUUGAGGGAGAGAGGGAAGUUGUGGGUGAGAGAAGACUUUUUUUGGAUAAAAACAUAAUGACUUAUUAUUAAUAAAUUACAAUAAUUCAAAAACUUUUUUAAAAAAUGAGCUGGUGUAGCUUUGGACUUGGACCAUUUUUUACGGAUCCGUAUUAGGCAACAUCUUCUUUAUAAUAGUCAGUGACUUAUGAGGGCCACUUGGAUAUAACUUGUUGGAUCUUUCUCUUUUGUGAAAGACUUGUUGGAUCAAGUUGUUUGGUUUAAGUAGCUCUUGAGUUCGAGUCAAUUGUCAAGGAACUUGUUGGGUCAAGUUGUUUGGUUUAAGUAGCUCUUGAGUUCGAGUGGAUCAAAGUUGGCCCAUUAUUUAUAGGGUUUGACACGUCUAUGUUAACUACCAUUUCGUUACAAUAACUGUUUUUGGGCCACACAAUAAUUUGUUUAGUACUGUCGGAAGAAGUAUUGCGAGGGCCAUGGCCCAUGGUGGAUAACACCAUGUUGGCAUGUUAGUCCAUGGUGGAUACUGGAUACUAUCAGGUCUCGUUUAAGUUGUCCACAAGUUUAAUCAGUGGACCUGGUAAGCACAAACUUUACCCAAAAAGAAAGCAAUUUUUUUUUUUUUUGAAAUUAAAGGAAAGCAGAGUUAACACAUUGGUUUGGGUAUGAAUGAGAGGCUUCAUGCGUCCACAAAAAUAACUUGAACCCAAAUAUUGUGCUGAUCAUUUGUGGUAUUUAGUUUAUCUUGGCUUAUAUAUUGAAUUAGUUUUUUAUUUUUUUAAGGGAUAUAUAUUGAAUUAUUAAUUAAUUGUCUUGAGAGCCCUCCUCAAGAGCUUCAACCGAUUAUGGCUAGAGAUUUGUUAGCUUUGUAGUUUUUUUUUCUUGUCUGCCUAAUUUUCCGAUGUACCAAAAAAAAGUAUAUUUAGCAAAAUUAGCAUAAAACAUUUAUAUUAUCAUAUCAAUAAAAUAAUUUUAUUGUGAAAAUAAUUAACUUGCUAAAAUUAAUUAUUUUCCAUCAUUGAAUUCAAUAAGUUAGUAUAAGCUUGGGUGUUGGGGUUCCGCAAGUUAACAUGUUAUUCAGAUUGCAUGGAAGCUGUGCGGGUGUUUCAAUCUCCGAUGGAUGUGGUCAACUUUUGGGCAGGGGAUAUUAUUGUGCGCAUUCGAGAUAUGCUUUCAUGGAGUUGGAGUGUGCGGAUAGAAUAUGCAUGUGCUAAAAGAAAGGAAUAGCGUCGUCGAUUGCUUGGCGAAGCGUGCAUAGUUGGAAGGCUCGCCAAGGCGUGUUUGGCAUCUACCGCCAUCAGCUAUUAUUGAAGCUCUGUUUAAAAAUGUUGUAGCUUUUUUUUUGUUACAAGAGGAAGAAAGAUGAUGUAGCUUAAUUUGUCUUUAAUCUUCUAUCUUGUAACCUAAAAAUUCAAUUAGUUAGUGUGCAUAUGUGCAGUAUGCACACUACCUAUUUGUUGUAUAGGUAUAUGGUAGAAUGCCCAUGUUAAAAUUAUCAA